AAUGGCACCGUAACUUCGGGAGAAGGUGCGCCGGUGAGGGUGAAGCAUUUACUGCGUAAGCCCAUGCCGGUCGAAGAUACCAGGCCGCUGCGACUGUUUAUUAAAAACACAGCACUCUGCAAACACGAAAGUGGACGUAUAGGGUGUGACGCCUGCCCGGUGCCGGAAGGUUAAUUGAUGGGGUUAGCUAACGCGAAGCUCUUGAUCGAAGCCCCGGUAAACGGCGGCCGUAACGAUAACGGUCCUAAGGUAGCGAAAUUCCUUGUCGGGUAAGUUCCGACCUGCACGAAUGGCGUAACGAUGGCGGCGCUGUCUCCACCCGAGACUCAGUGAAAUUGAAAUCGCUGUGAAGAUGCAGUGUAUCCGCGGCUAGACGGAAAGACCCCGUGAACCUUUACUAUAGCUUUGCACUGGACUUUGAAUUUGCUUGUGUAGGAUAGGUGGGAGGCUUUGAAGCGUGGACGCCAGUUCGCGUGGAGCCAACCUUGAAAUACCACCCUGGCAACUUUGAGGUUCUAACUCAGGUCCGUUAUCCGGAUCGAGGACAGUGUAUGGUGGGUAGUUUGACUGGGGCGGUCUCCUCCUAAAGAGUAACGGAGGAGUACGAAGGUGCGCUCAGACCGGUCGGAAAUCGGUCGUAGAGUAUAAAGGCAAAAGCGCGCUUGACUGCGAGACAGACACGUCGAGCAGGUACGAAAGUAGGUCUUAGUGAUCCGGUGGUUCUGUAUGGAAGGGCCAUCGCUCAACGGAUAAAAGGUACUCCGGAGAUAACAGGCUGAUACCGCCCAAGAGUUCAUAUCGACGGCGGUGUUUGGCACCUCGAUGUCGGCUCAUCACAUCCUGGGGCUGAAGCCGGUCCCAAGGGUAUGGCUGUUCGCCAUUUAAAGUGGUACGCGAGCUGGGUUUAGAACGUCGUGAGACAGUUCGGUCCCUAUCUGCCGCACGUUUGAGAUUUGAGAGGGGCUGCUCCUAGUACGAGAGGACCGGAGUGGACGAACCUCUGGUGUUCCGGUUGUCACGCCAGUGGCAUUGCCGGGUAGCUAUGUUCGGAAUAGAUAACCGCUGAAAGCAUCUAAGCGGGAAACUAGCCUCAAGAUGAGAUCUCACUGGGACCUUGAGUCCCCUGAAGGGCCGUCGAAGACUACGACGUUGAUAGGUUGGGUGUGUAAGCGCUGUGAGGCGUUGAGCUAACCAAUACUAAUUGCCCGUGAGGCUUGACU
rnacentral:rRNA from 1 species